UGUGGAUAUUGUUGCAGUACUGGCAGACAGACAGCCAGGGCUUGUGGGCUGACAGAUGCCCUCUGUCAUCAGGUUAUCAUUUCCAAUUAAACCCUUUCAUCUAAACGUACAGUCAACUCCUUGGCAAGCCAAAAAAUGACCUGUAUAAGACGUUAUUAGUCCAUUUCAACAGGUCCCCAUUUUUCCCCCCCAACCUCACCACUGUAUCUGGGGGGGUUGGGUCAAUCUUUUAAAGCAUUACGGUUCUAGAUUCUUCAGCUAUCUUGAUCCAAAUAGUUCAGAACUUCAGCCGUCUACGGUGGUCACGUUCUGUUUAGAGAUAAACUUUCAUAAUUGCUUUGGAUUGACACACCGGCAUGCCCUCUCUAACAUGUGUACUAGCACAAGGGCCUUUUUGUCUUGCCUUGUUCUGUCAGGACCCACUAUGGACAGCGUUGUUCCUGUCCAGUAUGCAGAAGACAUGAAGGAAUGCACGCAGAGCUCAGUAACUGUCUGCUGAAAAAAAAAAACUCACAACGUCUCAUUUCCUUUAAUAAGACGGCCUCUAAGGCAUCCGGAUGGCCCGACUAAAUGCAGAUUAACCCCUCAGAAUCAUCAGCAACCACUCAAUCAACGUGACUAACUCAGUCAUGGGUGUGUGCAAGCAUACCGAAAACCAUAACGCACACUUCAAAAGUCUUUAUAGUUAUCAGCAGUAAUAAAUAAGGAUCAUUUAAGGAUUAGACUGGGCUAAGACAAAGAAAACACAUGCCUUUGUUCAUUCCAAAGCAACAACGAACUCCAGCUGGAAGCUGAAACAAACUUUAUGCAAAAAAUAAUUUAAAAGGAACAUAAUUCUUUCAUUUUAAAUUUAAAUUUCAUAUUUCACACUAACGUAAAAUAAAUCCAAACUGCAUUUACUCAGUUUGUUUUUUUCUUACAUCCAGAACAAUAAAAUUGCAUCUUUAUACAAUCCCCACACAUACAAAAAAAUGAAUAUUACGGUUAAUAAAAUCAUCAAUGUCUGUCCAGAUCUCCCACACAAACGCCAGACACAUUGCAUACUCA
ensembl:lncRNA